rnacentral:rRNA from 1 species
GGACCCGCACAAGUAGUGGAGCAUGUGGUUUAAUUCGAAGAUACGCGCAGAACCUUACCAACACUUGACAUGUUCGUCGCGACUUUGAGAGAUCAAAGUUUUCGGUUCGGCCGGACGAAACACAGGUGCUGCAUGGCUGUCGUCAGCUCGUGUCGUGAGAUGUUGGGUUAAGUCCCGCAACGAGCGCAACCCUCACUUUUUAGUUGCCAUCAUUAAGUUGGGCACUUUAAAAGAACUGCCAGUGAUAAGCUGGAGGAAGGUGGGGAUGACGUCAAGUCCUCAUGGCCCUUAUGUGUUGGGCUACACACGUGCUACAAUGGUACUUACAAUGGGACGCAAAAGAGGCGACUCU